UGGCAGAGCCCUCCCUGCCCCGGGGCGGGAGAGAGGGAUGGGUUGGGAGCCUCCCUCCCAGACAGGAUGCAGGAAGGAGGGGGGAUGAGGAGCUGCUCUCCCUGCUGAGGUGCAGGAGGGGAUGGAGGUGGGUGAGGAUCCCCUCUCCCUGCCUUGGGUGCAGGAGGGAAGGGGGUGGAUUGGGAUCCCCUCUCCAGGUUCAGGAUGGGGUGGGGGUGAGGAGCUGCAGCUUUGGGUCUGCAGCAGGUUGCUUUAGAGAGAAAAAGGAGGGUCUGAAGUAAAGCCCAUUCUGCACCAUUGAAAUCUUGUGGAGUAACCACUGGAAAGGGAUGUCACUGUCCUGCAGGGAUGCUCAGCUGAUGUCCUUCUCCAACAUCCCUUGCUUUCCAUUUAUUUUUUUAUCCCCCCUCAGUUUUUUCCCUCCCUGUUCCACACCCAGCAAACGGAGAACUCCUGGAACGGUUUUGUUCAAGGCACAGCUCAGGAGGGGUUUGCUCUCCAGGAAGGUGCCCAGGGCAGAGCUGGGUGGGUCUGCACAUCUCCAGCACCACCACCCCUCCUAAAAACCCAAAACCCCACGCAGGGAGCAGGAUGAGGUGUUGAUCUUAUCCCUUGGGUGAUGUCCUGUGCUUUACACAUGUCUUGUGCUCUUCACACUCUUCCCCCAGGAGGGAUUUUGGCCGAGGCUCUGCUCUGGUGCUCGGGGUUCAUGGCAGGCCCAGCUCUGGGUCUGACCGUGCUGCUGGGCCGUGGAGGGUUUGGUUUUGGUCAGCCUCCCUUGGUUAGCCAGUUGUGUAUUAGAAACUGAACAUAUUAAAAUUGUCUUAAAGGAUAAUGUUCCUCAAUUAGUGGUUCUUUUGUUUUUGUUUUUGUUUUUUUUUUAAAUCCAUGGAUGAAAACUGUCACUUUAGCAUGUAGAGUCUCUUACAGAAUCCUGUGCAGUGAUUCUAGAAUUUUGAAACUGUAUGACGUGUUACAUUCACAAAUUUAUUUGCUAUCAACAUUCCCUUAAAAAAGAAAAAAAAAAGAUAAAGAAAACAACAUACCACAAGCUGCUGUAAUGAUUUUGUGUCAAGAUGAUCCAAUAAACUUUCAAAACAAAGUU